GAGUUUGAUCAUGGCUCAGAACGAACGCUGGCGGCAUGCCUAACACAUGCAAGUCGAACGCGUGGUUUCGGCCACGAGUGGCGCACGGGUGAGUAACGCGUGGGAACCUGCCCAUGGGUACGGAACAACCGCGGGAAACUGCGGCUAAUACCGUAUAAGCCCCGAGGGGUAAGAGCCUUGGGGGAAAGAUUGAUCGCCGAUGGAGGGGCCCGCGUCGGAUUAGGUAGUUGGUGGGGUAACGGCCUACCAAGCCGACGAUCCGUAGCUGGUCUGAGAGGAUGAUCAGCCACACUGGGACUGAGACACGGCCCAGACUCCUACGGGAGGCAGCAGUGGGGAAUUUUGGACAAUGGGGGAAACCCUGAUCCAGCCAUGCCGCGUGAGUGAAGAAGGCC
rnacentral:rRNA from 1 species